rnacentral:rRNA from 1 species
UACGGAGGGGGCUAGCGUUGUUCGGAAUUACUGGGCGUAAAGCGCACGUAGGCGGAUCAGUCAGUUAGAGGUGAAAGCCCAGGGCUCAACCCUGGAACUGCCUUUAAUACUGCUGGUCUGGAGUCCGAGAGAGGUGAGUGGAAUUCCGAGUGUAGAGGUGAAAUUCGUAGAUAUUCGGAGGAACACCAGUGGCGAAGGCGGCGCACUGGCUCGGUACUGACGCUGAGGUGCGAAAGCGUGGGGAGCAAACAGG